rnacentral:rRNA from 1 species
UGAGGAAUAUUGCGCAAUGGACGAAAGUCUGACGCAGCAACGCCGCGUGCGCGAUGAAGGCCUUCGGGUUGUAAAGCGCUUUUUGAGAGGAUGAGGAAGGACAGUACUCUUAGAAUAAGUCUCGGCUAACUACGUGCCAGCAGCCGCGGUAACACGUAGGAGGCAAACGUUAUCCGGAUUUACUGGGCGUAAAGCGCGUGUAGGUGGUUUGGUAAGUAGAGCGUGAAAGCUCCUGGCUCAACUGGGAGAGGUCGUUCUAAACUGCCGGACUAGAGGAUGGUAGAGGGAGGUGGAAUUCCGGGUGUAGCGGUGGAAUGCGCAGAUAUCCGGAGGAACACCAGAGGCGAAAGCGGCCGCCUGGACCACUCCUGACACUCAGACGCGAAAGCUGGGGUAGCAAACG